UUAUCUCUAUCAUAUAACGUAAUAAAAAAAAAAAAGUCAAGUCUUUUGCAUUUUUUUGAAUCAUGAAUAAUAUCAUGAUAAUAAAUGCAAUUUAAUUCUCUAUAUUUCAAUUUCCAGCUUUGAAAACUGUCGAAAACAAUUUAUUUUGUUCUUGCACGGGUCAUUUUUACUGCUGCUUUGGCUUUGGGUAGAGACCCCACAAUACGUGUUCCCAUUUGAACUAUCUAUGGAGGAGAGGAGAACUGAGGACCCAGCCAAAGUCGGUUGCCAUUCAAAAACGGAGUGAUAACUAUUUGUUUUCGUACUGAUAAUUGUCGACAAAGGGCUUGGUUGGUGAAGUUUGGUGAUUUGGAGAAUCUAUCGUUUAGAAGUUUUGAUAAUUUGGGUUGGCGUGAAAGAUUUGAAAUGCUGCAUUUUCGUUUUCCUCAAAAAGUUUUGGUUUUUGCAAUUGGAUCUCUGAAGAAAUAUUUGAAGGUCUAAUGGGGGCUCAAAAAAUUUGCACUUGAGUUACUUGUUUGGUAACUAAAUUGAUGGCAACCACGUCUCCACCUCCAAAUCCAUCUCCUUCUGCUCCGCCACCGUCCCCUCCAUUGUCCUCCAUCACUCCACCACCACAACCCUCCUCUCCUCCUCCUAAUCCUGUUUCAGCGUCCCCACCUCCUCAGCAGAAUGCGAAUCCACCAGGCUCUACAACACCUUCGACGCCACCGCCUCAAUCUCCUCCUCCAGUCGGACAAUCAGCCCCUCCAACACAACAGCCAGCACCUCCACCCCCUAAUGUAACUUCAAUCCCAUCAGUACCUCCUGCAUCACCCCCUCCUCCACAAGAUGUUCCACCAACCUCACCCCCAUCCCCUCCCCCAUCCACUUCCAAUUCACCACCACCACCAUCUGUGAAUCGGCCUGCAAUUUCACCUCCUCCUCCAGCAUCUAGUCCACCUCGUAGUUCACCCCCACCCCAAUCCUUAACACCACCACUGCAGAAUUCACCUCCGCCACCAUCCACUCCACCGUCAAAUGCACCCCCACCACCAUCACCUAGCCCACCUCAGAAUACACCUGCACCGCAGAAUUCACCUCCGUCACCAUCCACUCCACCGUCAAAUUCACCCCCACCACCAUCACCUAGCCCACCUCAUAAUACACCUCCACCAUCUGAAAAUGCACCACCACCAGCUCCAACAUUGCAACCACCUUCACGAUCACCCCCACCACCAGAAUCAGUGCCACCCGAAAGUCCACCUUCACCACCAGCAUCACUCCCUCCUCAAAGUUCAUUUCCUCCAACAGCAUCAGUACCACCCACUAAUGCCCCCCCUCCUCCUAGACUGGUGCCACCUACUUCUCGACCAACACCUUCACCACCAAAUUCUCCUCCUAGUUCAUCCCUAUCACCACCAGUUAUAAGUUUAGCUCCACCUCCUCCAUCUCGUGCUUCUCCUCCUUCUUCUAAUUCUCCUGGUUCACCAUCUGGUAAUCCAAAUGUGAAUAAUUCUAGCCCCAGCGCACCGGAAAACUCAAGUUCUGGCAGGAAUGGUGGCAUUGGCACUGGAGGUGCAGUGGCUAUUGCCGUCGCAGUAGGAAUUAUUGUACUUAGCCUGAUUGGAUUGGCUGCCUGGUGCAUGAGGAAAAGAAGAAGGGAUAUGUCUGGGCUUAACGGUGUCUAUGUUAUGCCAUCUCCCCUUGGGUCUUCCCCCAGAUCAGAUUCUUCCUUUACAAAGACACGAUCUUCAGCUCCCUUAGUAGCAAGUGGUUCGGGCAGCGAUUUUCCAUAUUCACCUCCAACAGAGCCAGGUGGACUUGGCAAUUCACGGGCAUGGUUUACAUAUGAUGAACUAGUCAAGGCCACAAAUGGGUUUUCAGCACAAAAUCUUUUGGGUGAAGGUGGAUUUGGUUAUGUGUAUAAAGGAUACCUACCAGAUGGAAGAGAGAUUGCAGUUAAGCAGCUCAAGAUUGGCGGGGGGCAAGGCGAGCGGGAAUUUAAAGCUGAAGUAGAGAUUAUUAGUCGUAUACAUCAUUGCCAUUUGGUUUCACUUGUGGGUUACUGCAUUUCUGAGAGCAGAAGAUUGCUAGUAUAUGACUAUGUGCCUAACAAUACUCUGUAUUUUCAUCUUCACGGUGAAGGAAGACCCGUUUUAGAUUGGGCAUCACGCAUUAAGAUUGCAGCUGGUGCCGCUCGUGGAUUAGCUUAUCUUCAUGAAGAUUGCCAUCCUCGGAUAAUUCAUCGGGAUAUCAAGUCAUCAAACAUUCUUCUUGACAAUAACUUUGAAGCUCGAGUUUCAGACUUUGGGCUCGCCAAAUUAGCUCUUGAUGCAAAUACACAUGUUACCACUCGCGUCAUGGGAACUUUUGGAUACAUGGCUCCUGAAUAUGCAUCAAGUGGUAAAUUGACUGAUAAAUCUGAUGUAUUCUCAUUUGGAGUUGUGCUUUUGGAGCUAAUAACAGGACGGAAGCCCGUGGAUGCAUCCCAACCUCUGGGAGAAGAGAGUCUAGUUGAAUGGGCUCGACCUCUACUAAGCCAUGCACUUGAAAACGAGGAAUUUCAGGGUUUGGCAGAUCCAAGGCUUGGGAAGAACUACGUUGAAAGUGAAAUGUUCCGAAUGAUCGAGGCUGCUGCAGCUUGUGUCAGACAUUCAGCUGUGAAGAGGCCCCGAAUGAGACAGGUUGUCAGAGCUUUCGAUAGUAUAGCUGCUGAAGAUCUAACUAAUGGAAUGAGAGUUGGGGAAAGCGAGAUAUAUAACUCUGCACAACAAUCUGAAGAAAUUAGAUGGUUUCGAAGGAUGGCAUUCGGUAGUCAAAAUUACAGCACAGAUUUUUUCAGCCAAGUUAGUUUGAACAAUUAGAAGAACGAACAUAAUAAAUCUCCGUCGAACUGACGACCUCCUCAUGAAGCAGAGAUUUUAACCAAAGAUGGAGAGUUGGAGACCCUUUUGAUGGCGUUGCCUGACUCAAAUCAUUGUCCAUCUCAGACUACUGAUAUCAGGCUUAACGUAUGAAUACUCUGAAUCCUUUUGCUUGUAAAUUAGAUUCUUUUAGCAUUGGUGAUAGCCAUAGGUAGUUCAAUUUUGCGCGGGAAUUCUUUGUACAUGUCAUUAGCAUAUGCACAUUUUUGAUACCAUUGUCAUUAUGUUUUUAAUUUUUCUUCUGCUGAUUUUUUCUUGGGAACGAGAAGAAAUGGUAAAUGUUGUAUAACUUCAACUCAGAUAGUUCUGUUAAGAUGUGAGAAUGACAAGCUCCACAUCAUUAGGGCAUGGAAGGGAUAGGAAGAGUCUGGUGAAGUGUAAACUUAUAAUAAAUUUGUACGUUUUCUUGA